GCGCUCUGAGUUCUCCGCCUGUGUUAUGCCCAUUUGCGAACCCAAAUUGAGUUCUAGGGCAUGUUUUUCGCAUCGAAGUGGCUGCAUGGAUUGGAGUUUCGCAGGUUGGGAAUUGGCGUAUGGGUGUGAUUUAGUCGAGGGUUUUGAAGAAUCAUAGCAGCGAUGGAUCUCUGCCGCUGCCACACCCUUCACUUCUGUGACCUGCAGCUGCACUCAGAUGGUGGAAGCCCUGGUGCCAAGAUGGCCUCCUUUGCAGGGUUGAGGAGAGUGGCGUUCUCGCUAAAGCUUGAGAAGAGCUUGAGGAAUGCCUUGGUAGCUGUGUCGUCCCGAAGGCGUGGCGGUGCCAUGACUGCCAGCAUGGUAGCAACGUCGACUGUGUGAGAUGCUGAUGCUGAUGCUGUGUUCCAGUCUGAGAUCUUCUAAAAGCAGGAGAAUACCCCUGCCAGGCACGAUGAGUACGUAGUGCGGGAAUGGGAGUGACCUGUUCCAUUCGUUGCCUGAGGCUUUCAAGAAGAUUGGUUUCAUUGAAUGGGAAUCUCAAGUAUGUAUCAACUUUUAUGUAGUGAUCAAUUACUGCCGUUCAUUUCUAGGCAGACAAUUACCAAGUAAUCUUCAUAGCCAUGUGCAUUUUGGCUGUGCACAAGUCUUGGAUGAGGAAGGCAAGAAUGAAUUUGAGGCAGCUUAUAGCUCAUCUUUCUACUCCUCUAUGGAUAUACUGAUCGAAUGUUACGAGGAUGUUGCUUCUGGCAACUAUAUCCGUAACUUUGUGUUGUCUGAUCGCUAAUUUUCUGAAAAGGAGGGUCUACCAGCUUUCCCCAUGGAUAAGAUUGAUGGGACCCGCAUGUGGCAAGUUGGUGAGAAAGUGCGCUCUACAUGACCAAAGGGUGACAUGGGCCCACUUCAUCCCUUCAUUGCUGGUGUUUACUGCGCUCUUAUGAUGGCUCAGAUUGUAGUAUUGGGGAAGAAGGGUCACUUGUACUCAGAAGUGGUCAACGUGAGUUUGAUGGGGGCUGUUGACUCUCAUCACCCCUUCAUGCACGCCUGGGGGAGUUGCCUUCAUGGUGGAUAACUGCUCAAUUGCUCGUCUUGGUUCUCACAAAUGGACGCCACGAUUUGACUACAUGUUCACCCAGCAGGCUUUACACUGCAGUAGACAAUGGAGCUCCGGUCAAUAUGGACGUUUAGAGUGAUACAGUGCAGACCCAGUUCAUCACGCCAUUGCAAUCUGUGCAGAAUUGAGGCCCAGUGUCAAUCUCGGUGUUACCGAGGAUGCUAAUUACGUUAGGGCUGAGUUGCGACUACAGAGGGGCAACAUCUGGCUUUAAUGUAGAUAUUCAACUUGCCUACCUAAGUUUUAGAUAAUUUAAAGAGUGAUGCUUCGCGGGGAUUCUCAAUGACGGGAUUUUUUGAGGUUUAUCGGUUGUGUAUUGCGGUGGGUGAGGAAUCUAUAUAGCUCCUUAUAGAUGUACCUUCACAAUUGAAUGAGUACUUAAACGAUCAAGGCUCUGCAGGAGGUCGGCCUUCCAGGCACAAGGUGUGGACAAUCUGGUUAAUACUUUGUAUUGUCCUCGAGCUGGGCAGUGGGAGUUUGAUUCCAGGCUCUGCUCGAUUAAAACGAUACCAAUUGCAACAUCGGAGUUUUAGUGUCAGCAAUCCU